UCUGGUAAUUUGAGCGGUAUGGUACCACCUUUUCCCAUUCCGAACAGAGAAGUGAAACGUGCCAGCGCUUACGAUACUUUUUGCUUGUUGCAGAAGGGACAAUAGGUCAUUGCCAGGG
rfam:Legionellales bacterium RIFCSPHIGHO2_12_FTLL_35_11 rifcsphigho2_12_scaffold_308072, whole genome shotgun sequence.